rnacentral:rRNA from 1 species
CCUUUAGUAACGGCGAGUGAAGAGGCAAAAGCUCAAGUUUGGAAGCUCAGUGGUUUAACCACUGCGCAUUGUAAACUGAAAACAGGAUCAAUCAGGUACACCGGGUGAUAAGUUCCUUGGAAUAGGACAUCAUGGAGGGUGAGAAUCCCGUCUUUGACCCGAGUCUAGUAUCUUUUGUAUUGGCCUGUUCAAGAGUCAGGUUGUUUGGGAAUGCAGCCUAAAGCUGGAGGUAAAUCCCUCCUGAAGCUAAAUAAUGGCGAGAGACCGAUAGCGAACAAGUACCGUGAGGGAAAGAUGAAAAGAACUCUGAAGAGAGAGUUAAACAGUACGUGAAAUUGCUUAAAGGGAAGCAUAUAAAGCUAGGAUGCGAUUGUUUUCUUCAGGUUGAGCUUUGGCUUGACUGUUCAGAAGGAUAAUCCGAGACAACAAGAAUUGGAGGAGGAGAAUAAGCUGUUAGGGAAGGUAAUCCUUCGGGAUGUUUAUAGACCUGGCAGUUCGCGCUCUUCUUUCGAUUGAGGUACGCUUUUUUUUAAAGGUUGUUGUCAUGAAUGGCUUUAUAU